UACGUGAGGGUCCGAGCGUUGUCCGGAAUUACUGGGCGUAAAGAGCUCGUAGGUGGUUUGUCGCGUUGUUCGGUGAAAACUCACAGCUUAACUGUGGGCGUGCGGGCGAUACGGGCAGACUUGAGUACUGCAGGGGAGACUGGAAUUCCUGGUGUAGCGGUGGAAUGCGCAGAUAUCAGGAAGAACACCUAUGGCGAAGGCAGCUCUCUGGGACGGUAC
rnacentral:rRNA from 1 species